UAUUUUUAUCACCCUUGUCUUUUGCGCACUUGUUGUUUCCUGGGCGGGUUCGCCCGCCACCAGGACCACACCAUAAACCUUUUUUAUGCAGUUGCAAUCAGCGUCAGUAUAACAAAUGUAAAUCAUUUACAACUUUCAACAACGGAUCUCUUGGUUCUGGCAUCGAUGAAGAACGCAGCGAAAUGCGAUACGUAGUGUGAAUUGCAGAAUUCAGUGAAUCAUCGAAUCUUUGAACGCACAUUGCGCCCUUUGGUAUUCCAAAGGGCAUGCCUGUUCGAGCGUCAUUUGUACCCUCAAGCUUUGCUUGGUGUUGGGCGUCUUUUGUCUUUGGCCUCGCCCAAAGACUCGCCUUAAAACGAUUGGCAGCCGGCCUACUGGUUUCGCAGCGCAGCACAUUUUUGCGCUUGCAAUCAGCAAAAAGGACGGCAAUCCAUCAAGACUACAUUUUUACGUUUGACCUCGGAUCAGGUAGGGAUACCCGCUGAACUUAAGCAUAUC
rnacentral:rRNA from 1 species